rnacentral:rRNA from 1 species
CAAAGGUGAGCCAGUACAGGAUGGACCCGCGUCUGAUUAGCUAGUUGGUAAGGUAACGGCUUACCAAGGCGACGAUCAGUAGCCGACCUGAGAGGGUGAUCGGCCACAUUGGAACUGAGACACGGUCCAAACUCCUACGGGAGGCAGCAGUGGGGAAUAUUGCACAAUGGGCGAAAGCCUGAUGCAGCAACGCCGCGUGAGUGAUGAAGGCCUUCGGGUCGUAAAACUCUGUCCUCAAGGAAGAUAAUGACGGUACUUGAGGAGGAAGCCCCGGCUAACUACGUGCCAGCAGCCGCGGUAAUACGUAGGGGGCUAGCGUUAUCCGGAUUUACUGGGCGUAAAGGGUGCGUAGGCGGUCUUUCAAGUCAGGAGUGAAAGGCUACGGCUCAACCGUAGUAAGCUCUUGAAACCGGGAGACUUGAGUGCAGGAGAGGAGAGUGGAAUUCCUAGUGUAGCGGUGAAAUGCGUAGAUAUUAGGAGGAACACCAGUUGCGAAGGCGGCUCUCUGGACUGUAACUGACGCUGAGGCACGAAAGCGUGGGGAGCAAACAGGAUUAGAUACCCUGGUAGUCCACGCUGUAAACGAUGAGUACUAGGUGUCGGGGGUUACCCCCUUCG